AGAGAGGAUCUAGGAACUGGAGCUGCUGCCUCUGUCUGCUAAGAUGUGAAGUCCAAGACUGAAAGUAACAUAGCAGAAGGAGAACCAAAAGAUAUGUUGAGUCUUGAUGCUAUUUGUUGAACCAGUCCUGAAUCCAGCUGUGUCGGAGUCAGCGCAGCUUUUGAAGCUGGAGAGCAUCAUAUUUUAGAAAGAUCAAGCAAUGUGGAUGAGGACACAUUAAAAAGAGAAGACCGAGAGGAGGGGACACCACUCAGGCUUAUAACCUCCAGCUCACAUUUCAGCACCAAAGGACCAAAGCCUAGACCUGAGAUCUGGCACUUGCAAAAAGAAAGAUCACCUGGAAGAACAAAAUAGAAGACUCCUGCUCCCAAUAGGCUUGGGUCAGGAAGAAGGCUGUUGGCAUAAUUGUGGAGUAGGAAGAUGGAAAACAACUCCUAGAGAUCCCAACAGCUGAACGCGUGCUUGGGCAGUGGCUGCGGGUGAAGUCAUGGGAAGGCAAGUCAUGAAGGGCAUUAAUCAAGCCUUCCCAAACCUUCUUCCAUCAGUUCCUCUGAAACCAGCACCAGAGUACAGAGCAGAACAUGGUGACUGAGGGCAAACGACAGGGGGAAGCUUUGAGAAAUGGCAGGUAUU
rnacentral:lncRNA from 1 species